UCUGCCACCCAGAUGCAUCUGACCUCCAAACAUUUUCUCCUGUUCCAUCUGCUCCCAAGCUUCAGAGUCCUGGAAUCAAGGAUAUGCGGAUGCUUUUUCCUCGGUUUAUGCCGUCUGAAGUUCUGGAGCCGAGCUACUGCUCUGGGCUGGGGUGUGGAGGACCGCGGACGCAGUUACAACCGGGUAACCGGGCUGGAAACACCAGAGAUGGACGUUUUCUGCGAUGCGCCACUGGUGUCCAGAGGUUUAAAUCACCCCUGACUCUUCUAGACAGGAGACUAUAGAGAACUCAGG